UAAGCACAGGACCUUUAGUUGACAAAAACUCCUUCAUUUUUUUAGCCAAAUCUUCUCUCUUUUCUACACGUAGUGCUUUGAUGCCCAUAGCGUCAGCCAACUUAACGAAGUUGGGAUUCUUUUGAUGAGUAUGAGAAUAGCGUUUCUCAUAAAACAAGUUUUGCCAUUGAGUGACCAUGCCUUGCUCUUCAUUAUUUAGGAUAAGAAUUUUAACUGGGAUAUCAAAUUGACGGACGGUAGCAAGUUCCAUACCAGUCAUUGAAAAUGAAGCAUCACCAUCAAUAUCUAUAACAAUAUCUUUAGGUGCAGCAACGCUAGCACCUAUGGCAGCUGGGAGACCAAAUCCCAUAGUACCGAGACCACCGGAGGUUACCAAAGAACUAGGUUUUGUCCAACGAUAGAAUGUAGCGGCCCACAUUUGAUGUGCACCGACACCGGUGGUAAUAGUGA